GCUUUUUACCUGUAUUAUUAAUUUACAUGUAAUUUAACAAUGCUGAGACUAAUCAGUGCAAAUUCAUAAUUUUCAAUUGAUAUCAAAUUAAGGGCAUCAGGGAAUGUUGUAGGAUUGUGUGUGUUUGAUGUCUGUCUGUGAAUGUUUUAGGUGCUUUUUGAUGCUGAUUAAUUAUUGCACCAUUUUUUAAAUUGAUUUUUUUUUUAGGUUCAUGGUGAUACAGGUUAACUUUGAGGUUCAUGCAGAUGGUGUUUAAAACUAUCAGUCAGGAAAAACAAACUCAUUUGAACACAGCUUGAGUCUUCAUAUAUAAAAUGAUGGCAGUGCUUUUAAUAUGUUCAUGGUGAUACAGGUUAACUUUGAGGUUCAUGCAGAUGGUGUUUAAAACUAUCAGUCAGGAAAAACAAACUCAUUUGAACACAGCUUGAGUCUUCAUAUAUAAAAUGAUGGCAGUGCUUUUAAUAUGUUCAUGGUGAUACAGGUUAACUUUGAGGUUCAUGCAGAUGGUGUUUAAAACUAUCAGUCAGGAAAAACAAACUCAUUUGAACACAGCUUGAGUCUUCAUAUAUAAAAUGAUGGCAGUGCUUUUAAUAUGUUCAUGGUGAUACAGGUUAACUUUGAGGUUCAUGCAGAUGGUGUUUAAAACUAUCAGUCAGGAAAAACAAACUCAUUUGAACACAGCUUGAGUCUUCAUAUAUAAAAUGAUGGCAGUGCUUUUAAUAUGUUCAUGGUGAUACAGGUUAACUUUGAGGUUCAUGCAGAUGGUGUUUAAAACUAUCAGUCAGGAAAAACAAACUCAUUUGAACACAGCUUGAGUCUUCAUAUAUAAAAUGAUGGCAGUGCUUUUAAUAUGUUCAUGGUGAUACAGGUUAACUUUGAGGUUCAUGCAGAUGGUGUUUAAAACUAUCAGUCAGGAAAAACAAACUCAUUUGAACACAGCUUGAGUCUUCAUAUAUAAAAUGAUGGCAGUGCUUUUAAUAUGUUCAUGGUGAUACAGGUUAACUUUGAGGUUCAUGCAGAUGGUGUUUAAAACUAUCAGUCAGGAAAAACAAACUCAUUUGAACACAGCUUGAGUCUUCAUAUAUAAAAUGAUGGCAGUGCUUUUAAUAUGUUCAUGGUGAUACAGGUUAACUUUGAGGUUCAUGCAGAUGGUGUUUAAAACUAUCAGUCAGGAAAAACAAACUCAUUUGAACACAGCUUGAGUCUUCAUAUAUAAAAUGAUGGCAGUGCUUUUAAUAUGUUCAUGGUGAUACAGGUUAACUUUGAGGUUCAUGCAGAUGGUGUUUAAAACUAUCAGUCAGGAAAAACAAACUCAUUUGAACACAGCUUGAGUCUUCAUAUAUAAAAUGAUGGCAGUGCUUUUAAUAUGUUCAUGGUGAUACAGGUUAACUUUGAGGUUCAUGCAGAUGGUGUUUAAAACUAUCAGUCAGGAAAAACAAACUCAUUUGAACACAGCUUGAGUCUUCAUAUAUAAAAUGAUGGCAGUGCUUUUAAUAUGUUCAUGGUGAUACAGGUUAACUUUGAGGUUCAUGCAGAUGGUGUUUAAAACUAUCAGUCAGGAAAAACAAACUCAUUUGAACACAGCUUGAGUCUUCAUAUAUAAAAUGAUGGCAGUGCUUUUAAUAUGUUCAUGGUGAUACAGGUUAACUUUGAGGUUCAUGCAGAUGGUGUUUAAAACUAUCAGUCAGGAAAAACAAACUCAUUUGAACACAGCUUGAGUCUUCAUAUAUAAAAUGAUGGCAGUGCUUUUAAUAUGUUCAUGGUGAUACAGGUUAACUUUGAGGUUCAUGCAGAUGGUGUUUAAAACUAUCAGUCAGGAAAAACAAACUCAUUUGAACACAGCUUGAGUCUUCAUAUAUAAAAUGAUGGCAGUGCUUUUAAUAUAGGUUAACGCAGACAGACGCAUUUUGCCGGAAAACGAAUCUGACAUGCCACCUCGAGAUUUUAACCAAGGAAAGACAACUUGAUGUGCUUUGAUUUGAGGGGUCACUCAAUGCUGAACGAAAAUUAGGGACAUUGCUAUGUGAAGAAAUGUUAACAUUGCCG